rnacentral:rRNA from 1 species
UACGAAGGGGGCUAGCGUUGUUCGGAUUUACUGGGCGUAAAGCGCACGUAGGCGGGUCGUUAAGUCGGGGGUGAAAUCCUGGAGCUCAACUCCAGAACUGCCUUCGAUACUGGCGACCUAGAGUCCGGAAGAGGUGAGUGGAACUCCUAGUGUAGAGGUGGAAUUCGUAGAUAUUAGGAAGAACACCAGUGGCGAAGGCGGCUCACUGGCCCGGUACUGACGCUCAUGUGCGAAAGCGUGGGGAGCAAACAGG